AUUGAACGCUGGCGGCAUGCCUUACACAUGCAAGUCGAACGGCAGCACGGGAGCAAUCCUGGUGGCGAGUGGCGAACGGGUGAGUAAUAUAUCGGAACGUGCCCAGACGUGGGGGAUAACGUAGCGAAAGCUACGCUAAUACCGCAUGUGAUCUGUGGAUGAAAGCGGGGGAUCGCAAGACCUCGCGCGUUUGGAGCGGC
rnacentral:rRNA from 1 species